GAGGUUGGGCCCAGAUUGACAGUUCUUCGGCUUCUUGGGCUGGGCCUACUCUGACCGCUCCCGCCCCACCACCGAUUCUCUUCCUCCGCUCCGUUCCCCACCUCCGUUGGUGCGUCCACCGAGGCGGCCGGGUCGGUUCGCCUCCGCCGCGGUCGAUCAAUGAAUCCAUGCCGGCCUCGUGGCCUGGUUCCUUGCUCUCCUUAUUCUAGGAAUGUGCAACUGAGUGACUGCUGAGCUGUAGAUAAAUGUGAGGAGUUGAGGACAUUAUUUACAAACAAAUGGUAUGUAGUAUUCCAGAUCUGAAGAACUAGACGGAGCAUAUACAACAGAAGUGAUAGUAUAUGAAUAACAGAUCCAGUAUCAGUGGCUUCCACAUGCGUGAAGUUUAGGCGAAGGAAUAACCGAGGCAAGCUUUGCCCUGUAUCUUGCAGAGAGACUACACUGACUGAAUCUAGGACUUCUGGAUUAAUGGAAAGGCUUCUCACCACUUUGUUAGACUUGUCCUUCUCUGGUGUUAUACUGUCAUCUGAUAAAAUAAUUCAAUAGCAAGCUAAGCAACAGUAUACUUCAUACAUGGCAGAGCUCAACUUUGACUUCUCAGGGCUUAAAAUUGAAUUUAUAUGACAUAGCUUGUUUCAUUUCAGAUCAUCUGUUUUUCUUAAGUCAUCGCUUGUUUGAUUGGGUUUUCAGUUAGCAACAUCAUAGUUAGCAGCCCAAGAUUAAGAAUUGUAGUAUCUUCUGAAGAUUAAGACCUCAGUCAUUCUCCGAAAGUAUCAAUACUUGGAAGUAUGAAACUGUAGAUCAUGAACACAGUGUUUCGUCAAUGUUUUUUGAACAACUUAUGUUAUGUGCUUGAUUUUUAAAGGAGUCAGUUGACAACCAGUGUUCAUUUCUUUUCAGCUUUAAUAGUAAAUAACUGAUCAUUAGGUGCAAUUUUCUAUUCAAGCAACCAUGUUACAUGAUCAGUUGGUAUUUAUGGCACAUCAAUUUUGUUAGUUGCGAUGCUAGCAUUCUGAACUGUGUCAUCAUGGUUUGCUUUUAGAACUAUUAUACAUAGAUAAUAAUUGAUUUGGAGAACACUUCAAUUCCUGUAACAAACACGCAAGUUACGCUAGCAUGUCAUGUCAUGUGCUUAUUAAUUCAAAAACAAUAAUUGUGUGCAUGAACAAUAGAUCUGUACGGAUUGUUUCAAUCGUCAAAUCAUGAAGCAUCCGCUGCCGUGAUGGAAAUGCAUUGCAUUAUUCAUUUCCGAUUCUUUGACAUCAUACAUUCUAUACGUGUAUCCUUACUGUUUUUUAUUAAAAGUGGUGAUUAUAUAGAUCAAAAUAUAAGUAGUGCCGAUAUCAUCAUUUGUUGUCAGCUAACGGAUCAUUCCUUGUGCCUUCUAAAUAUGAUUGAAAUUGUCAAUAGCAAAAUGUUGAAUACCUAGCUAUUGAAAAUUUGCAUUGUCAAGGUUUCACGCAACAUAAAGAUGUGGUGCUAUUUUUUUUAGUUCUGUUCAUUUUUCAUAGCAAAGUUUGGAGUACUUUUAUUUUGUUCCCCUUUAUUCACCUUAAUCUAUGCAGAUUUAUUAUCUAUUUAUAUGCAGUAAUAACUAAAAACGACUGUGCUGCUAUGUUAUAAAAUGAUUCUUUGUACAAGUUAUUUAAUCUAUCAUCACAAUUUAUAUAAGGUAAUUUAUGGUCAUAUAGUCAUGUCUGUCAGAUACAGUAGUCAUUUCCUCUUUUGGCAUAUGAUAUUUGGUUCUUCAAUAGAGAACCAAUGAUAUGUAUACUUAUUAACCAGUCAUGGCUGCCGCUAGGCCGCUAGUACUUUGUUUACUUAGGAUUGAUUUUGAAGAAGAUUGGCAAUGCAAGUAAGCUUCCAACAGGUCUGAGCAUAUAAAAUGGACUUGAUGCAUCACUCUUUUUAGAAAGGUAAAACCUGAGCUCACCAAACACUUUCUAGCUCUGCCUUGAGGGAAGAAUAGCACCAUUGAAAGGACAAUGCAAACACCAAACAAAAAGGGCGAAGCGCAGCAAAGGGGCCGGAAAAGAAGUCCUCAACGAUUUUCUGUUAAUUGAAUGAUAUGGCAUCCUAGAGUUUGUUGAGAAACAUAGGUGCCAUUAUAUUUGUCUGAAGUCCCAAAGCUCUCAAUCUAUUAUGCCUACAAGGCUAGCUGCAUAUGCAUCAUUAGCCACUUACACUUCAAUUAUUCGUGACUAAGAAUUCAGGAAUCUUUUUCUUGAUUAUAUAGACUUCUGUACAAUCUGUCUCCCUUCUCUUAUUUACUUGGUUGAAAAGACCAAUAAUGGAUAAGAAUCUAUUAUUUGAGAGGUUAAGAUGUGAUCACAUAAGUCCCUGUAAUUGUUGCUCCUUGCUAACGUUCACUUAAUGAGAAAAAAUACUAAUAACAUAAAAUUUCUGCCACUUUACUUCACUCAUUGCUCAUUGAAGUAAAAAAUGUUGUGG
rnacentral:lncRNA from 1 species